rnacentral:rRNA from 1 species
GCAAUGGGCGAAAGCCUGACGGAGCAAUACCGCGUGAGGGAGGAAGGCUCUUGGGUUGUAAACCUCUUUUCUCAGGGAAGAACAAAAUGACGGUACCUGAGGAAUAAGCAUCGGCUAACUCCGUGCCAGCAGCCGCGGUAAUACGGAGGAUGCAAGCGUUAUCCGGAAUGAUUGGGCGUAAAGGGUCCGCAGGUGGCAUUGUAAGUCUGCUGUUAAAGAGUUUGGCUCAACCAAAUAAAAGCAGUGGAAACUACAAAGCUAGAGUGUGGUCGGGGCAGAGGGAAUUCCUGGUGUAGCGGUGAAAUGCGUAGAUAUCAGGAAGAACACCGGUGGCGAAGGCGCUCUGCUAGGCCAAGACUGACACUGAGGGACGAAAGCUAGGGGAGCGAAUGGGAUUAGAUACCCCAGUAGUCCUAGCGGUAAACGAUGGAAACUAGGUGUGGCCUGUAUCGACCCGGGCCGUGCCGAAGCAAACGCGUUAAGUUUCCCGCCUGGGGAGUACGCACGCAAGUGUGAAACUCAAAGGAAUUGACGGGGGCCCGCACAAGCGGUGGAGUAUGUGGUUUAAUUCGAUGCAACGCGAAGAACCUUACCAAGGCUUGACAUGUCACGAAUUCUGUUGAAAGAUGGAAGUGCCUUCGGGAACGUGAA